rnacentral:tRNA from 1 species
ACCAGGGUGGCUCAGUGGUUGAGCAUCUGCCUUUAGCUCAGAUCAUGAUCCUCUGGUC